ACCCACCGACGUGGGCUGGGGUAAAGGGGAGAAGGGCAGAGAGAGGAACUCACGCACCGAGACGUGAGAAGAGGCAGACAAAUGUGCUGGGGCUCUUCCAUCACCUGGCUUCAUCCAGCUAGAGCUGGGCACCAGCAAGAACCAAAACAGAAAAAUCAGGAGACUCAAGGGCCAGAGUUUGUGAGUUGUGAGUUGUACAUAUAUGAUCAACACCACAUAAGUUGUUUAAAAUAAGCUUUCUGCUCUCUGAAUUAUAUAAUUGGGUAUUUAAAAGAAGAAAACAAAUACAAAAAAACAAUGUACCCCCAUGCAGAGGCCAUCUAAUCAUACAUAGCAGCCAUUGAGCUCCCAUACUACCAUUGCAAUGCUCUGGACAGGAGUCAUCCUAGGAACCAUCCCUCCCACCCCAGAAGGGAGAAUGGAUCAUCUGCAGCCUCCUCUGGAGCUUAGCUCAAUUGCCACUAGACACCCAGGAUGACAGAGAGUCAAGAUUCAGACUGCUGUACACCUUCUUUGGGAAUGCCAGCCCCCCAGGUCUGGCACAGAAACCACAAAAUUCCCUAAGUCCUGGUGUAUACAAGCUGUAAAGGCAGUAGGUCCCUGACACUUCAUUGGAAGUGAGUUUAUGAUUUUGGUGGAGACAAUAGGUCUCUAUCCAUAGAAUGCAACCACCGAGACACCAAGGCCACUGGAAAUGCACCAGAAGUAUAUCAGCCAGGUCCUCUUGCUCCCAGCAGCAGCGAAAUGUGCCAGAAAUAUACCAACCCCUGGGAAACAUACAAGCUUCAAGGUGUUGGUUCCCUACCUCACUGCUCUCCGUCCUGACACACCGGUGUGAGCCCAGUGACCCAUGCUUAAGCCCCAGCUUCUAACCGAGUGACAGUGUGCACUGCAGUUGCAGACUGAGCUCAAGCUCUGUUGUGACACAUUUUUACCCUCCAAUUAAUUCUUAGGCUCCUGCUCUAGCGGUGGGUUCCUGAGAGGCAAUGGGAGUACAUAUUCCAGAUGAAUUGACCCUGGCCACAAAUGUCCUCUCCAGACACCUAUAAAUAUCCCAUCUCCAAGGUUCCUUGUAAGAAAUAUAUGAUUGGAUCCCAGGAUCUGUGGAGGACCUCUCCCGGCUCCUCCCCACAUUUUAGGAAAAUCCUGCCGGUUUGGGAUCACCAGCCAGAGGUCCA
rnacentral:lncRNA from 1 species